rnacentral:sRNA from 1 species
UCGCGAAGCCGGGUCGCCAGUUUGUCC